GGGGAAUAUUGCACAAUGGGGGAAACCCUGAUGCAGCGACGCCGCGUGGAGGAAGAAGGUCUUCGGAUUGUAAACUCCUGUUGUUGGGGAAGAUAAUGACGGUACCCAACAAGGAAGUGACGGCUAACUACGUGCCAGCAGCCGCGGUAAAACGUAGGUUACAAGCGUUGUCCGGAAUUACUGGGUGUAAAGGGAGCGCAGGCGGGAAGACAAGUUGGAAGUGAAAUCUAUGGGCUCAACCCAUAAACUGCUUUCAAAACUGUUUUUCUUGAGUAGUGCAGAGGUAGGCGGAAUUCCCGGUGUAGCGGUGGAAUGCGUAGAUAUCGGGAGGAACACCAGUGGCGAAGGCGGCCUACUGGGCACCAACUGACGCUGAGGCUCGAAAGUGUGGGUAGCAAACAGGAUUAGAUACCCUGGUAGUCCACACCGUAAACGAUGAUUACUAGGUGUUGGAGGAUUGACCCCUUCAGUGCCGCAGUUAACACAAUAAGUAAUCCACCUGGGGAGUACGACCGCAAGGUUGAAACUCAAAGGAAUUGACGGGGGCCCGCACAAGCAGUGGAGUAUGUGGUUUAAUUCGACGCAACGCGAAGAACCUUACCAAGUCUUGACAUCCCUUGACAGGCAUAGAAAUAUGUUUUCUCUUCGGAGCAAGGAGACAGGUGGUGCAUGGUUGUCGUCAGCUCGUGUCGUGAGAUGUUGGGUUAAGUCCCGCAACGAGCGCAACCCUUAUGGUCAGUUACUACGUAAGAGGACUCUGGCCAGACUGCCGUUGACAAAACGGAGGAAGGUGGGGAUGACGUCAAAUCAUCAUGCCCUUUAUGACUUGGGCUACACACGUACUACAAUGGCGUUAAACAAAGAGAAGCAAGACCGCGAGGUGGAGCAAAACUCAGAAACAACGUCCCAGUUCGGACUGCAGGCUGCAACUCGCCUGCACGAAGUCGGAAUUGCUAGUAAUCGUGGAUCAGCAUGCCACGGUGAAUACGUUCCCG
rnacentral:rRNA from 1 species